ensembl:misc_RNA 7SK 7SK RNA
GGAUGUGAGAGCGAUCUGGCUGAGACAUCUGUCGCCCCGUUGAUCGCCAGGGUCGAUUCCGCUGAUCUGACUGGUUGGGCAGGUGUUGCCUUCCUCCCUCACCACACCAUGUGCGUCUCUCCUGAAGCUGUGGGCUUGGUUGAGGAAGACGAAAUUCCUGGAUAGGGGCGGAUCAUUCUUCGGUCUGGGGUACAGGAGUAGCUGCACCCCUCUCCUAGGUCCUCCAAACAAGCUCUCAAGGUCCAUUUGUAGAAGAAUGCAGGGGAGCUAAGCUUCCAAGGCUCCAGACGUAUCCAAAUGGGGUGCUGCAUGUAGCAUUCAGCCUUUGUUU